CACUAGCUCGCGCGCAACAGUUUGCGUCGCUAGUGCGCGCGCGCCGGCAGUCGAAGCGUAGUCGCAGGUCUCGCGAGUUGUGAUCGAGUUCCAAGUCGCGCGCCGCGACUAAACCCGCACCAUGUGAUGUGAAGGACUUUAUCAAUUAAAACAGACAUGUGUUGCUUUGUUAUGGAUAAUUGUGAACAAAAUAGUUCUUAAAUUCAGUGCAGUGCAUAAUAAGGACGAGGAAUAAACGACGGGUAUGAUAGUAAUGAUACUGUCGUGUGUUGACGUCAUAAGUGCAGUGUGAGUGGGAGAGCAUAUGGGGCAAUGCGUGUCCCGGACGCACCCGGGCUCGUACGCCUUCUCCCGGCAUUACGACGCGGAGAGCGUCGCCAGCAGCGUCAGCGGGUACCGGGUUAAGAAGGGUCACUCUGAGUCGAAGGGUGCGAAGAAACGGGACAAGAGCGUCGGCAACGGGAACAAGCCGUCGCGGGGCGUCGCCACCUCCUUCGGGUUCCGCCGGCGGCCCGCCUCCACCUCUCGCGCCGACGACAACGCGCGCCGCAGGAAGCCAAGCGACAACAACGGCAAUGGAGCAGGGUCGUCGGAGGACCUUCGUGCAGAGGAGGUACUGUCGGGCAGGUCGACUCCGCUCGCGCGCCCGCGCAAGGAGACCGCCGCGCAACCGCUCCGAACCAACAGGUUUGGUUUCAGGCAGCCGCACAGCAAGACUGCGCGCGUGGGCGACGUGAGCGCGACAGCAGAGCCUGCCUUCACCACCGGCAAGGAGAAGGAAACCGCCAUAAACAAUAACGCUUUAGAUAAGAAAAGUACAAAUCCACAGUACAACAACCAGUUGGGUCUAACAGCUACCCAGGUGUCAUCCACGGGUAGUGCCACCGUGGUGGGAGCCUCAGGGGUCCCCAAGACCGUCACCAAGCAGACAGUCAUCCUCACUUACCAGCCACAACAGUACGCUGUACAGCCGGAUGUCAGACCGAAGGCCGGCAGCCAGGUCCGCGGCACAUCAGCCACGCGGGUGCCCAGCGAAAUCCAGAAGCCUCCUGGGAAGUAUACCUUCCAGACCAACCAGCUGCCGCGGCCGCAGUACCCAUCUGUCAAGAAUAUUGACGCUAAAACUGCUAAACAGGUGGUGAACAAUACCAGGAAAGCUGUCGGUUCCGAUGGUUGGAGGGAAGGAGCAGGGUCCGCAGUAUCGACCGACUCGGGCGUGUGGACAGGCGGGGAGGCCGGCGAGGGAUCCCCACGUUCGCGCCGACGCCCGCGCAACCUCGAGAUGGUCAUGCGUGGCACGCACUCCUUCCACCUGAGGGAACUGCAAGUUGCAGACUUGGAUAUUAUGGAUGAAGCAGUAGUAACAGGCCAUGCAGUGAUACCCCUGCCGAAGCUACCGAGCUCAUUCGACGAGCAGCCGUCUCCGGAGUACGACCCCCCUGUGCCCACCUACCGAGCCCCUUCUCCCAUCCUCCCCAAGCCUACUCCAGUGGAACAACCCCGUCAGUCACCUAUGUCCACCCUGGAACGAUACCGCACUAGAACUAGGCCCAGUAGGAUUCAAACCAGCUUGGAGUAUAAAGACGAAGAGAAGUUCGUCUUGGAUAGAGCGCAGCCUGAGUUAUUGAACAAACAGAAUUCGUUCAUCAAGUCAUCGAGCGGCGUGAUGUCUCCGGCCACAGUGAGCUCCAGUAAGGAGUCAAGUCCGUCGUGCAAGAGCGAGGAGAGCCACUUUGGCAACAGCAGCGCCUGGCAGAGCCACGCGGCUGGGGAAGCUAUGGCUACCAGGUCCCAAGACGACGUCUCCCUCGCUCUAAGUGUGUCCAGCUGCGAGGAUGAGAAGUCGAAGAUGGACAGCAAGGAGAACCAGAAGCCUCCCCUAGUGGAGAUUCCGAAGGCGGUGGAGGUGCCCAAGAAGACUAUCGUUAUCCUAGACGAGCCUCCCGUGCCACACCCGCUACUCAUGAAGUCUCUUACAUUAAGCCAGCAUGAUUCUUUACGUGGAACUAUGAUGGGGUCAAUGACCAGCUCCAACUACAGCACAACGAGUACCUGCACCAACCAAAGCGGCGAUCACCACAACCUGACUUUAACCCUCGAGGAGUCUAAGUUUGACAUGUCAGCCCUCGAAACCUCCACUCAGAGUCUUCUAGAUGACGAAACCUCGCCAGCAGACAGCCUCAUAUCUUCCACCAGCACCAGUGACUCGAAUAAUGACCUACAUGUGGAAAGGGAGCCAACUGUCUCCAGCUCAGCAUAUCAAACUGCAAAUACUAAGACCCGUUCGCCAGAACCUGAAGAUCGGGUUGACGGCGAGAUUUUGCAGCCUGUGAAGGAAAUUAUUGAAAUCCGCAGUGUGGCCGACAAUGGUGAAGCCAGCAAGAACCUAACCCCAGACUCCCCGGGCACCCCCACACACGCCUCCGGAGAGCUGUCACUCUCCGACGGGAAAGAUUUCUUCGAUGACGAGAUUGCUGAUCAGCCUGCCUUGCUGUUCCGAAAAAAUACAGACGGUAAUUCAGCCAACAAGACUUUGGAGUCAGAAGGCGGUAAGCAGAUAAGGAGGUCCAGGGAACGCAUCCCUGCAAGCCCACUAGUUCAAAGGAAUCGUAAAUUAUGCGGUCGAGGAGCGGAGCGAACAGCCUCUCUGGAUACACUGUCGAGCCUGGCUUCCGAUGACCUGAUGAUGGACAAUGAUCUGGCGCAAUCCAUCACUUCGCUACAGAGUGUUGAUGAUUACAUCGAGAGUGUUGUGGUGUUCAGGCUGGACAGUUCACUGCGCAGCGGCCUCAACUCGCUGGAUGAGAGACAACUGCGACAGGAGUUGUCUUCGUCCAAGUCUGCAGUGCGGCAGUGGAGCCAGCUGCUGGAGCAGAGCAACAUGCUGGAUCGACAGCUGGCUGCCAUCGCCACUGGCAAGGCUACGGAGUCGCUCAGCACUAGUACUACUAGUCUUAACAACAUCGGGGCAAGCCUGCCAGUGCGCACAGCACGACUGCUGCAGCGGUCGCGCGCGCAGACGCCAUCGGAAGCAGGCGUCAGCGACGGGAGCGCGUCGCCUGCGCCGGCGCCCGCCUCGCUGCUUCAAGACGUGGUCGACAUCAAGACCCUGCUGUUACAACUCAAGCGGGUCUUGCAGGAGCCGGGGGAUGAGCAUCAUUCGAUGAGUAGUGAAACUCUCGACCCGUUGCUAGCGGCGUGCGCGGAGUCCCCCGCGCGCGGCAACGGGCGCCGGCCCCCCGCCUCGCCGCUGCACCCCGACGCCUGCGCUGAGAUGCGCCGACAGAUACUCUACCUGCAGAGUCAGCUAGAGGAACGGGACAGGUUAGUGCGCGUGUUGCAGCAACAAAUGCUGCGCAUGGCUGAGACGCACGAGCCGCGCAACGACGACACCUGCAACAGAGCCACGCAGACGGAUCGGUUGCGGCCACCGAUGAGCACCGCGUUAACAAGUUCUGAAAAUUCCGGAUUAGUGAGGUUAAUCGCCGCCGCAAUACAUACACUGAAAUCAAUUUUACGAGACAUACAUUCUUCGAUCACUGUAUUCUACAUACCUCCCAUCAUCCCCUCAUAUUAUUUCUCGCGAUGUAAAGAAAAUUGUUGUUCAGUAAUAAGGAACACAAUUUCUAAAAGUCAUUCGCUGGUUACAAAUUUUAAAAGUUCCAGAUGGAUUUUGAUAUUCAGUCACUACAUGAAUCAAAAAAUGAUCUUCGCACCCACAUCUAUGUGCAGAGUUACUCUUAGUUUGUCCCCCUAUUUUGCUGGAAUUUUCAUUUGACUUCACAACCUUUGCAUUAGUUAUAUUCACUACUACCUCGCUCUAAGUACAAAAUUAUUUAUCAACUAUUUUUAAUAUAUUAGCUGUUAUUUUAAAUUAUAAAUAUCAUCUCACAUGUUGGACUUCCUGUUAAUCAUUGUCAUUGUUCCGAAUUUCAUUUUGUUCUGAUUUCCUCACAUGCUGCUUUAAAUUCCAAUUGGAUUUUGGGCAAAAUCUGACUUUGUGGUCGCGUGGCAGUUUCCACUUGGGUGGAGCGCGGGUUCGUCCGUCGGAUCAGUUGGAAUGAACAAGCUAGCGGGAGGAAGCUGCCGUUAUACAGUGAAGCACAAAAGACUAGACGGCCAGUGAACGGGACCGUAAACAAAGUAUGUCAGUGCGGGGGGAGGAGAGUGAACGGGGCGAGUGAGGAGGAG
rnacentral:misc_RNA from 1 species